rnacentral:rRNA from 1 species
UACGGAGGGAGCUAGCGUUGUUCGGAAUUACUGGGCGUAAAGCGCGCGUAGGCGGCUUUGUAAGUUAGAGGUGAAAGCCCGGGGCUCAACCCCGGAACUGCCUUUAAGACUGCAUCGCUUGAAUCCGGGAGAGGUGAGUGGAAUUCCGAGUGUAGAGGUGAAAUUCGUAGAUAUUCGGAAGAACACCAGUGGCGAAGGCGGCUCACUGGACCGGUAUUGACGCUGAGGCACGAAAGCGUGGGGAUCAAACAGG